CCUACGGGUGGCUGCAGUGGGGAAUAUUGGACAAUGGGGGGAACCCUGAUCCAGCCAUGCCGCGUGUGUGAAGAAGGCCCUCGGGUUGUAAAGCACUUUCAGUGAGGAAGAACGCCUGGUGGUUAAUACCCAUCAGGAAAGACAUCACUCACAGAAGAAGCACCGGCUAACUCCGUGCCAGCAGCCGCGGUAAUACGGAGGGUGCGAGCGUUAAUCGGAAUUACUGGGCGUAAAGCGCGCGUAGGUGGCUUGAUAAGCCGGUUGUGAAAGCCCCGGGCUCAACCCGGGAACGGCAUCCGGAACUGUCAAGCUAGAGUGCAGGAGAGGAAGGUAGAAUUCCCGGUGUAGCGGUGAAAUGCGUAGAGAUCGGGAGGAAUACCAGUGGCGAAGGCGGCCUUCUGGACUGACACUGACACUGAGGUGCGAAAGCGUGGGUAGCAAACAGGAUUAGAUACCCUGGUAGUC
rnacentral:rRNA from 1 species